UUAAAAUAAGAAAACCAUAAGAGAGAAGGGAAGAGAAGAAAAGGCAUCCGUAUAGUAAGGAAGGAAAAGGAAAAUUACACAAUAGUAUGAAGUUAAUGGACAAGGAUGAAAGGUAACAUGCAUAAGGACUAUCCCAUUCCCACCUACCACCCCCUCUGUGCCUACUAAUCUUCCAAUUAAACCGAGCUAUUUUUCAUAAUUAGUGAAGUAACACAACUCGUCAUACCUAGGAAUUGGAAAUAUAGCAAGAACUAUAAUAUGUAUAUAUUUCUGUUUCUUCAUCUCUAAAAAGCAUCAAUUGAAAUUCAUCUUAUUCCGACUCAAUUAGGAUGCAAGGAAGUGGCACAUCACUUUUUCAAAUCUGAACAUGGGUGCUGAAAAUGCAUGAACUAUAUCUAACCCAUAGUAGGUGGAGAAAAGAUUGGCCUAUCUAGAAAGUACCUUCAAGUAAGGUGCAAGAGGUCCACUAUGUGGUUCUCAUUGUUCUCUUGGUUGGUGAUUACCUGAGAAUCUGCUGUAGUUUGGGAAGAUACAAGUGGGACACAAACACAUACAAAACACAAAAGUUCAAGGUUAAUUCACUAACCUGGCUGUCAUCUUGAAUCCUUUUAAGAGCCUUGUCAAAGAUCUUAUACCUAAACAAGAGAGCUUGCACAUCAGAGUCACCAAGUAAAGGAAACCACAAGGUAAUUUAGAGUAAUAAUUCUAAGCAAAUUUAAUUUAGAGUAAUAAUUCUAAGCAAACUUUAAUAAAAUUAAUCAAACUAUAAGUUGAUUCUUUACUCUUUUGGUUGAAAUAUAAGCUCCUUAAAAACUGCAUAUCCAGCAGCUGCUGCCACUCCAAGCCCUGCAAGGAUGAUAAAACUGUAGGAAGCUCCCUCGGCAAAUGUAACAGGCUUCUCUGGUAUAUUAUAUGUAGGAGCAUCAAAUGGAUCCUCCACUGUUGAUAUUUCUUUUUUGCUCUGAUAAUAAAAGCAAGGAAAAACCCAGGUUUAUGAACUAA